GGGCCCGUAGUCUAGCGGUAGGAUGCCCAGAGGCUUAGGCCCAGAGGCCGAGGCCUCGCGUGCGCCUUACAUGGCCCCCGCGCGUACAAGGGCCUAUGUGCGCGGGAGAUCCCGGGUUCAAAUCCCGGCGGGCCCA
rnacentral:tRNA from 1 species